ensembl:lincRNA
GCCCUGUCGCUCUGCUCCUGUGCAGGCCCAGGAGUGGCCUCUGCUUGGCCCUGGAGCUGGGAACAUCUUUGACAGAACUGUUACGUUGGUCUAACGGGGCUUGGGACAAAUGCAGGUCACACAUGGGAAGUGUCCCCAGCCUGUCGCCUGUUCAUAUGCACUGCUGUUCUCACGUUGCUCCUCCCUCCCUGUUCCCAGCACUUGAAAUAAGGAGGGAGAGUGGCAGGUGCCGUGCUGGGUGCCCUGCGCUCCUGGUGCUGCCGUCCUGCCCUCCUCUCUGGCUCCAGCUGGCAGGGCUGGGACACUGGUCAGGACACUGCCCUUCCCAGCAGGAUGGAGCCAAGGGGACAGGAACCCACACGGACUCAGAAGUCACCUGAACUGCCGGGCGUGGUGACGCACGCCUGUGAUCCCAGCACUGGGGAGGCUGAGGCAGGAGGAUCACUGUGAGUUUGAGACCAGCCUGGGCUUCAUAGCUCCAGGUCAAUCUCAACUACACAGUGAGAUUCUGUCUCAAAAAAAACACCAAAAACAAAAACCACCACUCUGAGCAAAGUUUCUCACAUUGCUACUCCUAUUUAAAUACAAACGUGGGAGCAGAGAGCAUGUUUUUUGUUCUAUACAAAAUCUGGCGGACUGGCUAUUCACAUUUGAAUUACUGGGUGACAUACAUGUUCAUGGUAACUACACUCAUAUUUGUCUUCUGUAUCAGUGUUGUGGAUGGUUUUCAUGGAUUUCAAAAUUUUCCUGUGCUUCUUUGAGCCACAAGUGUCAGGUCGGCAGUGGCAACAGAAGGCAGCCUCUCUGUGACCUGCGUUUCGUCCCCCUUUCCUCUGCUGCUCCAGUGCCUCCUCCCAGCCUGUGCCUGCUGCUGCUUUUUGCUUCUUAGAGGUGAAGGGCGUAAGAAGAGACUCGAGUCUCCCCCGUCCCCAUCCUCCCAUGCAUGCGCGCUCCAGCUGGGAAGUUCGCAGGGCCAAGACCGGCUGUGUCUCCUCUUUGUGCCAAUCCCUGCCCAUUUGGGAGGCUGAACUUCUCGUAGAAGUUUUGCCCAAGGCUCUUCCCUGUUGGCUUUCGCAUGCCUUCUGCUCCCAAGUCCUUGGCUGCCUCUGCACAGACCCGGCACUCUGUUCCUGUUUCCUGUGGUUGUGCUUCAUCGCCCAGCCUUACCAAUGUGUAAACAAAUCGCAAAAUCCCCAUGGCCAAAAACCUGCCCAUGUUACUCCAGCUGGAAAGAAUUGUGCUGGACCAAGAUUUAGACCACAUCCAGUGGAAACCCUGACCAACACUGCUGUAACGACAGCCUCGCAUCACAAAUCUAUCUGUGUGGACUUUUCCAUGGGAUUUUCCAUGCAGAGUCCCUGCUGCGAGAUGUUAACUCAGACAGUGCGACAGCUUUGGGGCAGAGCCUGCAGCGCUGCGGCUCCUGGUUAGCGACCUGUGUUGACUUUGGGGCUCAGGGAGACAUCGGUCAGGCUGAUUCCUGAGGGUCUGGGGCUGAGGGCUUGGCUUGGGUGGUGCCAGAGCUUGAAUCACCUCCCACACUGCUACUGGGAGAAUGUUUCUUCUCUGACUUAUGGCUGCACUAAAGUGGGAGAGGUGUACAGGCCUGACGUGUUUUAGGGUGACCCCCACCCUGACUGGCUGGGGAUCGUUUGUGCACUGAACCCUCGCCUUCUGGGGCCAGGACAGCGGGUCAUCUUAAGUAGAAUGGAAAAUGGAAUCAAAUUCGAGGCAGUCUAUGCUAAAGAGAGGAAACCUGUCUGAGCUUUAAAAUAGAAUCCUC